UACGAAGGGGCUAGCGUUGCUCGGAAUCACUGGGCGUAAAGGGUGCGUAGGCGGGUCUUUAAGUCAGGGUGAAAGCCUGGAGCUCAACUUCAGAAUUGCCUUUAAGACUGCAUCGCUUGAAUCCGGGAGAGGUGAGUGGAAUUCCGAGUGUAGAGGUGAAAUUCGUAGAUAUUCGGAAGAACACCAGUGGCGAAGGCGGCUCACUGGACCGGCAUUGACGCUGAGGUGCGAAGCGUGGGAGCAAACAGG
rnacentral:rRNA from 1 species